rnacentral:lncRNA from 1 species
UAUUUAGUUUAUAUUGUGUUUAUGUUAAUUAGGGAAAUAUAGUCCCUAUAUGUUUAUUAGGAAAACAUUAUUCUUAUUUUAUUUUAUUUUAUUCUUACAUAUUCAUUUGUAUUUGGGCUUAGCCCAUAUUUCUUCUAUUAUAAAUAGAGAACCCUAUGUGUGUAUUUAUCACAAGGGAUUAAUUCCAAUAUAUAAUUUUCACUAUAUUUAACAACAACAUAUUUACAAAACAAAAACAAGAAGAGGAACCUUCUAGCCAAUUCAUCUGAAUCCCCCGG